rnacentral:lncRNA from 1 species
GUUCUUGGACAUGGAGAAGACCAGAGAGAGAGAAAAAAUUAGAAAAAAAAUAAUUUUGUAUUUUUUUCGAUCAAUCGAGUCCAAAUACAAUGUAUGUUUAUAUAUAGGGUCAAUAUGAUCCAACCCAAAAACUCCUUUGACUAACUCAAUACAAGAUUAUGCUCACCCAAGUCCAUGUAUACCCAUGACUUGACUCAAUCUCAUAAUCUUGGACUUAAUUUUAGCUCAAAUAUAAGUUAGCCCCUCAAGGCCCAAAAUCUUUGGACCUCA